rnacentral:misc_RNA from 1 species
GAAAACCAUCAGAGUUUCCCAGAAACUCAUAGCAAGCUGCAAAAUCUAGUGAAUUUAGUGAUGUGGAGAGACAUGUCGAGAUCUGCAUUUGUCUUUGGAAUUGGCACAUUCACCAUAAUCUCUUCCUCCUAUACCAAAGAUCUCAAUGUCAGCUUUAUUUCUGUGAUUUCCUAUCUGGGUCUUGUUUAUCUUGCAGCCAUUUUCUUGUAUAGAUCACUUAUUUGCAGGGGAGUUAUAUAUAUAGAAGAUUCAAGUCAUGUGGUGGGUGAAGAAGAG